rnacentral:rRNA from 1 species
GGGUCAGUAGGCUGGUCGUGCCACCGGUACGUACUGGUCUCACUGAAUCCACCUUCCUGAAGAACCGUAAUGCCAUUAAUUUGGUGUUGCGGGGAAACAGGACUGUUACUUUGAAAAAAUUAGAGUGUUUAAAGCAAGCUAACGCUUGAAUACAUUAGCAUGGAAUAAUGAAAUAGGACGAUCGAUCCUAUUUUGUUGGUUUCUAGGAUUGACGUG